AUUGAACGCUGGCGGCAGGCCUAACACAUGCAAGUCGAGCGGAUGAAGGGAGCUUGCUCCUGGAUUCAGCGGCGGACGGGUGAGUAAUGCCUAGGAAUCUGCCUGGUGUUGGGGGAUAACGUCCGUAAACGGGCGCUAAUACCGCAUACGUCCCGAUGGAGAAAGUGGGGGAUCUUCGGACCUCACGCUAUCAGAUGAGCCUAGGUCGGAUUAGCUAGUUGGUGGGGUAAAGGCCUACCAAGGCGACGAUCCGUAACUGGUCUGAGAGGAUGAUCAGUCACACUGGAACUGAGACACGGUCCAGACUCCUACGGGAGGCAGCAGUGGGGAAUAUUGGACAAUGGGCGAAAGCCUGAUCCAGCCAUGCCGCGUGUGUGAAGAAGGUCUUCGGAUUGUAAAGCACUUUAAGUUGGGAGGAAGGGCAGUAAGUUAAUACCUUGCUGUUUUGACGUUACCAACAGAAUAAGCACCGGCUAACUUCGUG
rnacentral:rRNA from 1 species